UCUAUAAACAACAAAAGAGAAGGAGAGAGAAAAAGAAUAGAAAUAAAAGUAACCAAAAAUAAAAAAAAAGAAAAAUAAAGUUUAAAAGACAGUAAAAAAGUAUGUAUGUAUAUAGUACAUAACACUGGGAAUGAGCAUAUUCCAGACUUGAAGAUUUUAUUUUUGUCGUAGAACUCGGAAACAUUUUUUAAAGAAUCAACCUAUUUAUAAACACAAAACAUGGGGAUAUAUUCGCUAAAAUGGAAAGUGCUUCGAAUAGCGUUGAAAUGAAAUAAAACUCAUAUUCUGUUCACUAUAGUUAAUAAUUGAUGUCAAGACUAGCAACACACAUACUUACAUAUAUAUGUGUAAAGUCAUAGAUAUGGUCCUGGUACUUGAAAUGUACAUUUUUCGUGUAAGAGUCUGUAAAAAUCGUUCACCUACUAUACAUUAUGAUACUUCAAUUUGUUUGUAGUUUUUCGUUUACUAGGCCGGUAUCCAGGUAAAGUAGUACCUCUUUAUUAGACUCGACUCA